rnacentral:rRNA from 1 species
GACGAACGCUGGCGGCGUGCCUAAUACAUGCAAGUCGAGCGAAUCAAUAGGAGCUUGCUCCUGAUGGUUAGCGGCGGACGGGUGAGUAACACGUGGGCAACCUGCCUGUAAGACUGGGAUAACACCGGGAAACCGGUGCUAAUACCGGAUAAUCCUUUUCCUCUCAUGAGGAAAAGCUGAAAGUCGGUUUCGGCUGUCACUUACAGAUGGGCCCGCGGCGCAUUAGCUAGUUGGUGAGGUAACGGCUCACCAAGGCGACGAUGCGUAGCCGACCUGAGAGGGUGAUCGGCCCCACUGGGACUGAGACACGGCCCAGACUCCUACGGGAGGCAGCAGUAGGGAAUCUUCCACAAUGGACGAAAGUCUGAUGGAGCAACGCCGCGUGAGCGAUGAAGGCCUUCGGGUCGUAAAGCUCUGUUGUUAGGGAAGAACAAGUACCGGAGUAACUGCCGGUACCUUGACGGUACCUAACCAGAAAGCCACGGCUAACUACGUGCCAGCCGCCGCUGUAA